rnacentral:rRNA from 1 species
AACACAUGCAAGUCGAACGAAGCACCUUAUUCUGAUUUCUUCGGAAUGAAAAAUUUGGUGACUGAGUGGCGGACGGGUGAGUAACGCGUGGGUAACCUGCCUCAUACAGGGGGAUAACAGUUAGAAAUGACUGCUAAUACCGCAUAAGACCACAGCACCGCAUGGUGCAGGGGUAAAAACUCCGGUGGUAUGAGAUGGACCCGCGUCUGAUUAGGUAGUUGGUGGGGUAACGGCCUACCAAGCCGACGAUCAGUAGCCGACCUGAGAGGGUGACCGGCCACAUUGGGACUGAGACACGGCCCAAACUCCUACGGGAGGCAGCAGUGGGGAAUAUUGCACAAUGGGGGAAACCCUGAUGCAGCGACGCCGCGUGAGCGAUGAAGUAUUUCGGUAUGUAAAGCUCUAUCAGCAGGGAAGAAAAUGACGGUACCUGACUAAGAAGCACCGGCUAAAUACGUGCCAGCAGCCGCGGUAAUACGUAUGGUGCAAGCGUUAUCCGGAUUUACUGGGUGUAAAGGGAGCGUAGACGGAGUGGCAAGUCUGAUGUGAAAACCCGGGGCUCAACCCCGGGACUGCAUUGGAAACUGUCAAUCUAGAGUACCGGAGAGGUAAGCGGAAUUCCUAGUGUAGCGGUGAAAUGCGUAGAUAUUAGGAGGAACACCAGUGGCGAAGGCGGCUUACUG